rnacentral:rRNA from 1 species
GUUGUAAGGUUAAGAAAUUAAGCGUACACGGUGGAUGCCUAGGCAAUCAGAGGCGAUGAAGGACGUGUUAAUCUGCGAAAAGCAACGGUAAGUCGAUAAAAGGCGCUAUAGCCGUUGAUGUCCGAAUGGGGAAACCCAGUGCAGGUGACUGCACUAUCAUCUGAUGAAUCCAUAGUCAGAUGAGGCGAACCGGGAGAACUGAAACAUCUAAGUACCCCGAGGAAAAGAAAUCAACCGAG